GGUUCCAUAGCUCAGUCGGUUAGAGCAUCGUGCUAAUAACGCGAGGGUCGAGAGUUCGAGCCUCUCUGGGACCA